UGGGGAAUAUUGCACAAUGGGGGAAACCCUGAUGAAGCGACGCCGCGUGGAGGAAGAAGGUCUUCGGUUUGUAAACUCCUGUUGUUGAGGAAGAUAAUGACGGUACUCAACAAGGAAGUGACGGCUAACUACGUGCCAGCAGCCGCGGCAAAACGUAGGUCACAAGCGUUGUCCGGAAUUACUGGGUGUAAAGGGAGCGCAGGCGGGAGAACAAGUUGGAAGUGAAAUCCAUGGGCUCAACCCAUGAACUGCUUUCAAAACUGUUUUUCUUGAGUAGUGCAGAGGUAGGCGGAAUUCCCGGUGUAGCGGUGGAAUGCGUAGAUAUCGGGAGGAACACCAGUGGCGAAGGCGGCCUACUGGGCACCAACUGACGCUGAGGCUCGAAAGUGUGGGUAGCAAACA
rnacentral:rRNA from 1 species